GUGAAGUUAAAGUGUGAGCCACAUUGUCCGCAUUGCAUUUAGCACGCACAACAUCUAUAGCUUGAAAAGAAGCUGCUAGGAGCUUAACAUUCUUAAAAAUGGAGCGAAGACUUUAAAACCCGUUAUUAUCAAAAAGGUGCCACAGUAAUCCAAUUUUUUAACCUAAAGUAUAUGCUACAUAAAGAUAAAAUUGCUUAAAUGAAUGUCGGUAGUUGUAGUGGUUAAAAAUGACCGUUUGAAUCAUAAACAAAUAAUGUAGUAUUGACUCUUGAGUUGAGACAUUCGACCUUUAAUCCACCAAAACUCAAGAAGAUUUUUCAAUAGGGAGAAUACCUAUACUUACAAAUAAAAUUGGCCCAAGAAUGAGAGUGAAAAUAUUCAAAAGUUUCAAAGAAUUCAUACCAAUUUGACUUGAACCCGCGGAAGUGAAGUUGAUCAAUGUUUGAGGCUUUGAGCAGAAUAGCACCAGAAUAGCAUUUCCCUGCGUUCUGUGGUCAGGUGAAGUGACCGUGUAGUCGUUUUGUUUCCGGCGACGAUGGCGACCCUUCCCAUCGUCCAAUACGAAGAAAAAAUCCUCGAAACCGUUGAGGCGAACCCCGUCGUCGUCGUCAUCGGAGAAACCGGUUCCGGCAAGAGCACCCAGCUCUCUCAGAUGCUACUCCGCCGCGGUUUCUCCAAAAUCGCCGUCACUCAACCCCGUCGAGUCGCCGCCGUCACUGUCGCCAGACGAGUUGCGCAAGAGCUUGAUGUUCGCCUCGGUGAGGAAGUAGGUUACGCCAUUCGAUUUGAGGAUAGAACUUCUCCCACCACGCGCAUAAAGUACCUCACUGAUGGGGUUCUUCUUCGCGAAAGCCUAGCUAAUCCGGAGCUUAAUGAGUAUGAUGUGAUCAUAUUAGACGAAGCUCAUGAACGGAGUUUGAACACGGAUAUUUUGAUGGGCCUUAUGAAGCGCUUGGUUAAACUUCGAUCUUCCAAUCUCAAAGUUUUGAUCACGUCGGCGACUCUUGAUGGUGAUAAGGUAUCAAAGUUCUUUGCAGAUUGUCCUGUGUUGAGCAUCCCGGGGAAAUUGUAUCCGGUUGAAAUUCUUUAUAGCAAGGAGCGUCCCCCAAACUAUCUCGAGUCUUGUCUGAAAACAGCUCUUGAUAUACAUACUCGCGAACCAGAAGGGGAUAUUUUAAUAUUUAUGACUGGACAGGAUGACAUAGAGAAGUUGGUAUCUAAGUUGGAAGAUAAAGUUCGGGCUCUCGAGGAAGGUUCCUGCAUGGAUGCUAUAAUCUUCCCCCUACACGGUUCGUUGCCGCCUGAAUUGCAGGUGCGUGUUUUUAGUCCUCCACCUCCAAAUUGCAGACGAAUUAUUGUUGCAACAAAUAUUGCUGAAACUUCUCUGACUGUUGAUGGUGUAGUAUAUGUUAUUGACUCGGGGUAUGUAAAGCAAAGGCAGUACAAUCCAUCCAGUGGGAUGUAUUCUCUUGAUGUUGUUCAAAUUAGCAAAGUGCAAGCUAAUCAGCGCGCAGGCCGAGCUGGACGAACACGACCAGGGAAAUGCUACCGUCUAUAUCCUUCCCGACUUUUCCAAGAUGAGUUUUUGGAUGUUACAGUACCUGAAAUUCAGAGAUCUUCUCUCGCCGGCAGUGUGCUUUACUUGAAGUCAUUGGACCUCCCUGAUAUUGACAUUCUCAAAUUUGACUUUCUUGAUCCUCCUUCAUCUGAGUCCUUACAAGAUGCCUUGAAGCAAUUAUAUCUGAUUGAUGCUAUUGAUGAAAAUGGUGCAAUUACAAGUAUUGGACGAAAAAUGGCUGAGCUUCCAUUAGAACCAUCCCUAUCAAGAACUUUAAUAGAGGCAAACAAUUAUGGUUGCAUAACUGAGGCUUUGACUGUUGCUGCCAUGUUAUCAGCUGAAACUGCAUUGCUACCAGGGCAGAGGCAGAGCAAGAUUGAGAAAAAGAGGAAACAUCCAAUGCCUAACCUUCCUGAUGGUUCUGGCUUGGGUGAUCACAUUCAAUUGCUGCAGAUAUACGAGUGUUGGGAUCGAAAUGAUUAUGACAUUGGUUGGUGCAAAGACAAUGGCUUGCAGGUGCGGGGGAUGUUGUUUGUCAGAGAUGUCCGUAAGCAGUUAUCUCAGAUAAUGCAGAAAAUAGCAAAGGGACCACUGGAUAUAAGGGCACAUGGGAAUGGGGAUGAGUUCCGGCGGGAUUAUCGAAAUUUGAGGAAGGCUUUAUGUGUGGGCUAUGCAAAUCAGCUGGCUGAAAGAAAGAUGCAUCAUAAUGGUUAUCGAACUCUAAAUUUCCAAGCUCAAGUAGUUCAGGUGCAUCCAUCAUCUGUAUUGACUGCUGAUGAUCUGGGGAAGUUCCCAGACUAUGUUGUCUACCAUGAGCUAGUUGCUACCCCAAAACCGUUUAUGAGAAACGUCUGUAGUGUUGACAUGAGGUGGACAACAACUGUUAUGAACAAGCUUAAGACCCUAGAUGUGUACAAAUUAAGUGGUGGUAUUAAUCAUGCUGAGGAGGAAUCUGAGAGGAGUCUACCAGAUUUGCCCAAGAAAGAUGUCCAGGUUGCUGGUGCUGUCAAUGACUCUGAAAGUAGAAUCCAAGCUGCUCGAGAGCGAUUUCUUGCGCGAAAAGCCAAUAAAUGAGCACAGUUAAAUGAGUGGAGUUGGUGAUUGAGUUGUUGAGUGUAUAUGUACUAUAUGCUUAUGGUUUUGGUGUUGGUUCAGCCUCUGAUGAUCAAUUAAAUGAUUGGGACUAAUCCCCUCAAGACUAUGCUGAUCGCCUUCUAACAAUGACCUAUUCUUCCCUUUGGUGUCCGUUUUGAUCGCUGAUUGGUGAUCACUAUUGCAGGGUGGCACCCAAACUUUGGUCAUGUCUCUUUGUAUGGUGAUGCUCGCCGGUUGGGCAAGACGUGUAGUUUAAUCCUGCCUGUGUGAUAGUGUUGUGCAGUCAGUUCGAUUGCGCCUUUUGUACUUAAGUAUUUAAAUAGAUAUGCCCCCUAUUGUUUGCUUCAGGCUAUUUCUUUUUCCAUUGUUGUCUUCAAGGUUGAAGGUGUGUCUCAAAGUCAAAAGUAAUUCCCAGGUGUUUUCCGUAA